AUUAGAUACCCUGUUAUACUUAAAUUAAAAGUUUUAUUAAACCAGGGUAGUAAAUAGUUAUUUUCUCGAAACCCAAAGAGUUUGGCGGUAUCUCAGCCUAGUUAGAGGAGCUUGUUCAGUGAAUGAUAAUCCUCGAAGAAUCUUACAUGCUUUGGUAGUCAGUUUAUAUACCGUCGUUAUUAGAUAAUAUUUAAAGAUUAAAAAUUAUCAAAAUAUGAUAAAACAUAAUAUAUCAGAUCAAGGUGUAAUUUAUGAGCAUGAGUAGAAUGAGCUACAAUUUAAUUUUAUGAAAACGAAUGCCGAUAUUAAAUGGUCAGCGGAAGGUGGAUUUAAUAGUAACUUCAUAUUUAGUAUGGUGGAGUGGUAUUAGCUCUGGGAUAUGUACACAUCGCCCGUCGCUCGCGGGAAAA
rnacentral:rRNA from 1 species